GGCUGCGUUAGGGUGGGGGUGGGGGGUCUCGCGAUGAUCUCUCUGUCCUGUCCCUGCCUGCUCUCCCGCCCCAUGGUCUCCCGCCAUGGGAUGAAGUGGCAGCAGCCGCUGGACCUCCAGAGGGGCGACCCAGCUCCCAAGUAAACCAGGGUCACCUGGCAAGAGCGUGUGCCGUGACACUGAGGCCGCCGGGCAGCUGAGCCAGCCCUGACAGCCUGGGCACUCGGCGCACAACAGGAUAAUGCCACCUUGCGUUCAUGCAGUCUUUCCGUCUUUAGCUACCUACUUCCGUGGCUGCGCCAAAUUUCCGCUAACUGCCCUGUGCAUGUGUCCCCAGCCAGCGCGAAACAGUGGCUUCAACAGCAGGCGCUUACUACUGCCCUUGUGGCCCUGGACCGUUACAUGGCACCUCUGGCCUCCACAAGCCUCACCUACCAGCACACCUCACGGGCUCAUCUGUAUGGGGUGUGGCUCGGCUCCACGUGGUCUCCCAUCCACCGGCCAGCCAGCCGGGGCUGUUCCCAUGGCAACAGCCCAGCUCCAAGCCAGCAGGUGGAAGCCACAAGGCCUCUUGAGUCUUAGACUCCAAACAGGUGUCAAGUUGCAUAGGCGACUUUCUAUUGGCUACAGCAGGCCAUGUGACUGAUCCCUGAUUGGUGGGGUGGGACCUAGACUCUCUCCAAGGCAGGAACCAGAGAGCCACGUUGAAGAGACCAGGACGGGUGGAAAAUGAAGAACCAAUUUUGCCAUCCAUCUCUGAUUUUUUUUAACUCUUUUUCAUUCAAUUUAAAACUUGUUUUUAAACCAACUGUACAACCUUAAAUUACAUUUUAAUGUGCAUUAAACCGAGAUGAUCCAAUUUUCCUAUCGUCGGUUGC